CAAAUAAUAAUGAUAACAAUAUUGGGCUUUCUUCACAUGGUUUAUUUUGGGUUGGGCUUUCCCAGCCCAAUUCUUCACUUUCCUACCCUUUUCUAAGAAACCUUUUCCAAGUUUCCUAUUUGCCCCUCGACGCUUUUAAUAGUGAGGCUGAUCGUUUUCUUGGGGCACAAACUCAACUAAACUUGUGAACCCUUAUGUAAGCGAAAUUCAAUCUAUUCAUGCACCACCUACUAUAUACAAAUGUGAAAGCUUAAGAUCACAAUAAAACUUUGAAGAGAUUGCAGAGGUUUGAAGAUAACGGGGACGAAUUGAAAAGAUUGAGGCAGAGGAUGUUUCAUCGUUCGGAAGAGAAGGUUGUGGCAGUACUAGAUUGAACAGAUGGGCAUGAGGGGACGGUGGUGGUGACGGGGCCGAAAGAUGGUCGGAUUGGAGAUACCUUUCUUCGCGUGCAUGAGGAUUUGGAAAAAUUAAAGUUUUAGAAUAUAAAUUUGUAAUUUUAAAUUUAUUAAUAAAAAAUAAAAAAACUAUUUUAUGUUUUUUCUAUUGACAUCAAAUAAUUGUUGCGGGAAGCGUUAUCCAAAAAAAUUUCGUCUUUUCCGCCAAAAACGCGAAUUUUUCCAAUUUGUGAUCGUUUUUCCUUCUCCUUCCUAUUUUGUGAGAUACACAAUUGUCAUAGUAGACC